CGCAGCCGCGGGGAUUGUGGGAAAUGUAGUUCGGCCACGCCGCCCUCCGCGCCUCCUGUAAUGGCUGCUUCCUGGAAGGCGCUGUCACGUGGAACCUCUUAGCCUCCGCAUUCCGAACGCCAGGAAGGGGGUGUUUCAAGUCCCGUAGAGUUCCACAGAUAUCCAUUCUUUGAAACCUUCAGCUCUCAAGAUCCAGCCAUCUCAAGGCCCCAACAUCAUGACCUCGGUUUCAGCACAGCUGUUCAUAGUCCUCCUUUCACUGCUCUUGGUGCUGCCUGCUGUUGAAGCAGUAGAAGCUGGAGAUGCAAUCGCUCUUUUCUUAGGUGUGGUUCUCUGCAUUACAGGCAUCUGUGCUUGUUUGGGAGUAUAUGCACGAAAGAGAAAUGGAGAGGUGUGACUUUGAAGGGCCUCCUGAAUCAAGCCUUGCCCUGAAAACAUUUGAGCUAUUCCCGUUAAAAACUGAGCUUUGGUGUCUGAAAGUUCCAAAGAAACAGUACAUAGGGUAAUUUUACAUUCUUAAGUUUCCCUACAAAUGGUAAUAAAUUGAUAUAUGUUAAAUGGAAAAAAAAUUCUUUUUUACAACAAAUAAUGCAAUG